rnacentral:rRNA from 1 species
GACGAACGCUGGCGGCGUGCCUAAUACAUGCAAGUAGAACGCUGAAGGAGGAGCUUGCUUCUCUGGAUGAGUUGCGAACGGGUGAGUAACGCGUAGGUAACCUGCCUGGUAGCGGGGGAUAACUAUUGGAAACGAUAGCUAAUACCGCAUAAUAGUAGAUGUUGCAUGACAUUUACUUAAAAGGUGCAAUUGCAUCACUACCAGAUGGACCUGCGUUGUAUUAGCUAGUUGGUGGGGUAACGGCUCACCAAGGCGACGAUACAUAGCCGACCUGAGAGGGUGAUCGGCCACACUGGGACUGAGACACGGCCCAGACUCCUACGGGAGGCAGCAGUAGGGAAUCUUCGGCAAUGGACGAAAGUCUGACCGAGCAACGCCGCGUGAGUGAAGAAGGUUUUCGGAUCGUAAAGCUCUGUUGUAAGAGAAGAACGAGUGUGAGAGUGGAAAGUUCACACUGUGACGGUAUCUUACCAUAAAGGGACGGCUAACUACGUG